GGCACACCCCGAGGAGGAGAGCAAAGCUGGCUUCAUAUCUCACACGCCAAACACGCAGACUCAGCUUGUGGUCUGAUUAUUAUUUGCUGCCCAAAGCGGAAGAAACGGGAGUUCCCAGAUUUUGACUCUUGGGCUUUCAGACACAGAGACCAGCAGGACUCCAGUCACUGACCUGACUCCUCCUCAGGCACCUCUACCCCACUCUCCAGGAUUUCGAUUUAUUCAACUCUACUCACUGCUACACAGCAAGCCCAAGAAUAACAACCUUCAGACUUUGCACAGGGCCAAGCUUAGGCCCCACACCAUCCAUGGCAUCAACAUGAGUAUUGAUCCCGGUCCUAGGAGGAGAUGCAACCUUAAUUUCAGCCCUAAUCUCUGACAGCCUCAGAGUGGGUCCAAGGAUGUCGAUGAACUAUGAAGACUUCCAGUCCUUGGAGAGUGAGAAGAAAAGCCAGGGGAUAAGAAAGGGUAAGAGGAAAGGA